rnacentral:lncRNA from 1 species
CAAAAUAUUGGAUCAGUGAACAUUGGGAAUUUGAUAUGAAAAUUCAUAUAACUGUUGAUGAGGAAGAAGAAAAAAAAGAACAAAACAAAAAAACCCUGUUCAGCAGAGGGGAAGAAAAUGAAACAGAUUUACAGAUUAUGGCAGAGACAAGCAUCAGUGUAGCAUUUGAGAGACUGAGUGUGGCUUGAUUAUAUUUCAUAUUCUGCUCUUAAAUGACCAAACACAGUAAUAUCUGUAAGACAACCAUACUUUUUUUUACACUUGAACAAGUUAGGGUGAGCUUUUACUUGAGUUAUCUUAGUGCAUCUCCUCCCCUGUCCCUCAGCUGCAUAAUUUAAGAUUUGUGUGGUGCUAACAAGUUUGCAUGAUGAAUAGGUUUGAGGCCUCUGAGGCUUUAAGUAUUCUAUUCCCUUUUUUAUAUCAGUCUCAACUUAUGCAUUUAAAAGUAAGGAGGAAAUAGCUUGCCCUUUCCAGGCCAUAGAUUCAGAACUCCAGGUUUCUAAGUUUGGUGUUAUUAGUUUCUUUACUUCCUGGAAAACUUUAUUUCCAUUUACAAAAAGGUUAUGAGACUGACCAAAGCAGAUUCACCCAACCUUUCAGAAGCAUUGUGAAAGGACAAGAGGACGUGGUUUUUUGUUUGUUUUUGUUUUUGUUUUUCACUUUUUAGGGCUGCACAUGUGGCACAUGGAAGUUCCCUAGCUAGGUUCCAAUCGGAGUUGCAGCUGCCAUCCUACACCACAGCCAUUGCAACACAGGAUCUGAGCCAUGUCUGUGACCUACACCAUAGCUCAUGCAAUGCUGGAUCCUUAACCCCCUGAGUGAGGCCAGGGAUCAAACCCACAUCCUCAUGGAUACUAGUCAAGUUUGUUUCUGCCGAGCUAUAACAGGAACUCUGAAGAUGUGUUGUUUUAAGUUAUGUGUUAUUCAAAAAUGUCAUAUUUGUAGUGAUCAUAUUUUCCUAGGGGAUACUGCUGUGGUUGUGGAAUGGACCAUGAGAAGUGAUUGUUCCACUUGACAGUAAAAGGAAGGAAUUCCCUUGUGGUGCAGCAGUUUAAGAAUUUGGUGUUGUCACUGCAGUGGCUCAGGUCACUGCUGUGGCUUGGGUUCAAUCCUGACUGGGAAAAUUCCACAUGCUGCAGUGGCUGAAAUAAUAAUAGUUUUUAAAAAGACAGUAAGAAGAAAAGGCAUGAGGGCUGCUCACAUUUAAUGUUCAAAAUCCUGUCUUUUCAGAACAAAUAGGUUCCUACAAUUUGAAGACCCUUGAGCUAGUAAAUGGAACUGAAAGCUUCUUAGAGCUCCUUGUUGACACCACAUGGUCAUAAACCCUUCAAGACUCUGCAAAGAGGUCGUAAAGCAAAUUGUUCUCUCACAAGUAACCCGAUUAAAGGGAGACAGAGCUUAGACAUCUUGGAGCCUAAUGAGGGUUUUUCGGGGAAAUGAUGCUCCUUUUCUAGAACAAAUGAUAAAUUUUUGUUUUGUGUGAGAAACAGACUUGCUCACAGGAAUAAAGUUAAGGGACAGGUAGGCGCUAUAUUCUAUUUUCAGUGCUGUGGACUGUAAACUAGGAGACUUGAAAUUCCUAAUCUGACACAUUAAACUGGGUGACCUUAGGGAAGCAGACUUAACCACUCUGCUUGUCUCAUUUGUAAGUGAGAAUAUCCACUUAUUCCAUAGUAUAUAUUGAAUAAAUAUUAUUAGUUGCUUUCACCAUUGUAAUCUCACUUCACCCUCGCAAGAAUCCUAUGAAGAAGUCAUUAUUAUUCCUUCAUAUUAAUAAAGAAUCUGAUGCUCACAGGAUUUAAGUGAUUUGCCUGAGUCAUGUAAUUGCUAAAAGUUAUGGUUGUUAAGUGGCAGAGGAAUGACUCAAGCCCGAUUUUCCAAGUCCAGUGGUAUUCCUGCUAUAGGAAGCUGGUCUUUUUAUGGUUCAAUGGAAUUUAUUAACCUAUGUAAUUAUAUUUAUUAAUAUUUGUUAUAUCAUAGAAGUUAUUGCCUAAUUUCCUCUGUAUAAGCUUAUUUUCCCAAUGAAACCAAAAGUUCUUCAAAGGCAAAGAUUCAAAUGUUAAUAUCUUUGUCAUCUGACUCCCCAGUGCCCACAAUACAGAAUACUGAACUUCAUUCAUGUGUUCAUUCAUUGAUUCAACAUCUAGCAAAAUAUUCAUCAAACAGAUAUUGUGUUUCAGUCACUAUUCUUGGCGCCUGGAAUAGAUUAGUGCACAAAACAGAUGAUAUCCUGACCUCAUUCACUUAUAUUCUAGUGGAAGGAGAAGGAAAUAAAUAACAAAUGGCAUAAGUCAUUAAAUACAUUAGGGGUGAUAAGGCAAUAAAAAAGUAGAGCAUGUUAAGGGAGAUUGGGAAAUGUGACAGAAAGGGGAAAUUUGCAAUUUUAAACAAGGGUAUUAGGGUAGGCUUCAUUGACAGCUGCGUAUUUGUUACCUGAAUUCAUUUGGGAGUUUCCCCUGACACCUUCAAGCCUUGGCUUUACUUAUUUAUAAGGCAGAGAUGACACCAGGCUUUAGAACUUUAGAUCAAUAUCUUCCAUAUUCAUCUGCAAAACCACUGGGGGUAAAAGGUGUGAGUGGUCAAGGCACAGCCUGAAUUUAUGUCACGGCCUUUAGAACAGACAGCUUGGUAUCAGGGCAUAGGGCUUAAGGUAAUGCUGACCUUAGCUAGAAAAAACAUGAGUCUGUGAGCCUCACAGAUGUGUAAUCAAUAGUAAGGUAGCUGGUUAUAAGGGAUUUUACACAUCUGUCAGCUAAAUCAGAACCCUAAAGGGCAAAUGCUUCUCUAAAGAACAUUAGCCAGAUUUGUGGUGCUGACUCAAGGAGUUUGGGUCCAUAAACCAGUGCAUGCAUUCAAGGAGCCAUCAGUAUGACAGUUUUUCAUUUGUGACAGUCAUAAUCUUGUUUCAGUCUGGUUUCUAGUUGAUAUUCAUGGGAAAAUGUUGGAUUGGCCAAACCAUCAUCAGAGAUCAUUUUGUUUUUAUUUCAUGCUUUCUUUUUAUUUUUUUCCUAUACUGCUUAUAAUACUUUGCUCUUUGUCCUUGUAUUUUCUCUAUUUUCUGUUUGUUCUCUUCUUAUCUUUGCUUUUCUUUUAAACAUUAUCUGUUUUCUUUCUGGCUUUCCUUCUCUUUCAUUACUAUUCUUUCUCCCUUCCUUCUUCCCUUUCCUAAAUAUUUAUGUGCCCCUAAUAUGUCCUGGGUCAGCAUUGUGCUGUAUGCUGUGACAGUGGUGUACACAGAGAUCCUCCCUUACAGACUGUACUGUCUAUUGUACAAGCUGAUGUUAAACUUUAAACCCACCAUGAGUGAGAAGCCAGAGGUGAAGGGGCAGGUGAUCUAUAUUAAAGAACUGGAAAAUUUUAUAGUGAAAAAAAGAGGAGGCUAAAAGGAGAAUAACAGGGCACCUGUUGUACACCAGGUGAUAGAGAAGGCCUUCCUGACAGAAAUGAAAUUGGAAGAAAAGGAAGGAUUUAUCCAGGCAAUAGCAGGCAGGAACCCUCCAGAGAGAGGGGUCAGUGAGAAGAAAAACACCAGGAAUGACCAUAGCCUAGUGCAGGAGAAACUGUUCAAGGGCCAUUUUAUCUGGAUCACAGUGUGGGAGCAGAGGAUGGCAUAGGCAUAUGGGGAAUUCCAGAGACCUCCAUCCUUUAUAUCCAUUUUGGUUGGGCAUGAAUAAGGUAUUUAUCUCAACAUAUCCUUUGAUUUUUUAAAGUUAUUUUCUGGGAAAAAUGAGUACAAAACAGAACAUGAUGAAAAAAAAUUAAAGGUAAAAUGAGAAGCUUUUGAUGAAGGAGCUGAGAAGUUUAAAUGAGCACUGAACAACUCAAAGUGUCUGCCAUGGUUUUCUGUGGUAUACGAAUUAGCCUAAUUGCUAAGGUACAGGGUGUACCCAUGAUUCACAGUUAUAAGGAUUAAAGAUGUGAACAGGAUUUGCAUGUGUGUGUAGUGUGUGUUUUUGUGUCUGCCAGUGCACAUCUAUGCUGCAGCGUAGCAUUUAUGCCUAAUCAAAUGGUCAAAUCUUUUCAUAAUAAAAUAUUUUCCCAUGCAUUUCUAAAAAUCUUAUUACUUCAGUACUCUAAGUUGUUUUAUAAACUAAAUGCCCUUUUAGAUGAUUUUUCUCUGAAAAUAUUUGCAUCUUUCUAAGAACUAUCAGAAAAUUUAAUACAUAUCUACACACAUGUAUGUUUGUAUAUUAAUUUGUAGAUGAGACCGCUGGGUUAUGGUUUAGUGCUUUCAUUUUGACUGACUUACUGUAGAUGAGUGAUAGAGUACCCAACAAAGUCAAAUAGUUUUGAGAAGCAAAAAUGUCAUAUGUCAUGAAUUAGAUCAUAACAAAAUUCUCUGUAGGUACCAGCAACAAAAUAGAUAUGCAGCUUCAGAAAUAAAUAUGCAUUCUUUCUAGUUGUAGCACUUUAGUUUAAUGGUUUUGCACAGUUUAUGAAGAUAUUUUAUCCAUAAUAUGUCUUUUGAACAGAAUAAUUUAGGAAAUAACUUCACACUACAUUCUUUUCUAGAGAUUGAAUUUAAUUCACUAAAAUUUAAUGAGAAAAUAAAUAAUUCUCUCUUCAUUGAUUCACUUAAGAAAGUAUUAAAAAAAACAAUACCAAGGAGUUCCCAUAGUGGCUCAGCAGUUAAUGAAUCUGACUAGUAUCCAUGAGGAUGCAGGUUCAAUCCCUGGCCUUGCUCAGUGGGUUAAGGAUCAAGUGUUGCCAUGGGCUGAAGUAUAGGCUGCAGAUGCAGCUGAGAUCCUGCAUUGUUGUGGCUAUGGCAUAGGCCAGCAGCUGCAGCUUCAAUUCAACCCAAAGCCUGGGAACCUCCAUAUGCUGCAGGUGUGGCCCU